rnacentral:rRNA from 1 species
AGUGAACGCUGGCGGUAGGCCUAACACGUGCAAGUCGAACGGCAGCACAGUAAGAGCUUGCUCUUACGGGUGGCGAGUGGCGGACGGGUGAGGAAUACAUCGGAAUCUACUUUUUCGUGGGGGAUAACGUAGGGAAACUUACGCUAAUACCGCAUACGACCUACGGGUGAAAGCAGGGGAUCUUCGGACCUUGCGCGAUUGAAUGAGCCGAUGUCGGAUUAGCUAGUUGGCGGGGUAAAGGCCCACCAAGGCGACGAUCCGUAGCUGGUCUGAGAGGAUGAUCAGCCACACUGGAACUGAGACACGGUCCAGACCCCUACGGGAGGCAGCAGUGGGGAAUAUUGGACAAUGGGCGCAAGCCUGAUCCAGCCAUACCGCGUGGGUGAAGAAGGCCUUCGGGUUGUAAAGCCCUUUUGUUGGGAAAGAAAAGCAGCAGGUUAAUACCCCGCUGUUCUGACGGUACCCAAAGAAUAAGCACCGGCUAACUUCGUG